CUUUCCUUUAAUAAAAGUUUCACUCGCCUCCAUCCUCUCUUGUCACCAGUUCCUCGUUCUGGUUUGCAAUGCUUCGUGACAACUCUGCCUGUAAACAUGGGUGGCUGCCUACGAAAGGCGCCACACGCGGAUGCUCACUCCCUUGGAGUCGUUUUGCAUCUAAAAGAGAAUAUAUCAUGUGAACACUUGCUAUGCCCUACGGGUAUGAGGGACCGUGUUUUCCAGACCAAAAGGUGGUGGCACACGUGGCCAGCCAACGGGCAUCUUUACGCUGCUUCUGGAUGUGAGAAGGCAGAGGGAAAAAAUACCGAGUUUGGGAAUUGAAUAUUGGAAUCUGAGGAGAAUAACACAGAACCUAUAACACUGAGACCAACAGAUAAAACACUGGUGCUAUAUAUAGGUGGCAUGGUUUCUGUAAAUUCUCCAUUUAGAUAUAGAAUUAAGUGUCCAUUUAUGUACUAAAAUGAUGCGCUUUUUUUAAAGAGUUUAAAAAUUCACUGCAUUUGUGAUUACACUAAGUAAUGACAGCUUCUUUUCAUGAUAAAACUUAAAAUCCUUGGUAUAAAACUACAUUAAAAGUAAAGCAGCAGACAGCUAAAAGCACUAUUCUGAAAAACUUAAAACAAAAACCAAAAAAACCCCAAGGCUUCUGAGUGAAAUCUCCGGGAUCUAAGGGGUAUACAUCAGCACCUCGUAAUGUAUUUUUAACAGAAAUCAGCACCUGCUUAACUUGCUUCGAUAUGACAAUUCACAGCAUGACAUAUUAAUACAUUUGGGUGUUUAAAUAAGUGCUUUUUCAAGAGAAAAAGAGUUGCACAAUGAAACUCGGAUUAAUCAAUAACCAAACUCCUUUUUAACAGUGCUGGGCUUGGGAGGUUGCUGGGGGUUGAGGGAGAGCUGACCUCUCCAGCAUGAGGCUAAAACUGCGGGGCCCAGGCGGGAGGCAGCGGACACCCUCAGGGACCUGCAGCUCAGGAGUAAACUCUGACAGAAGCAGUGCCAGCCUGGGCAUGGCGAAGCUCUGCAUGUUGAGUGCCAGGGGACAGGAGGGCUGUGCAGGCACGGAACCUCUGACUGCAGCAAUGUGGAGAGGAAGGUUCUUGAGCACGACCUCAAGUAUUCAUCACUCCUUUCAGACUGGACUCAAUAUUUGGCAAGCACACUUGUGAAAGGUAUCUGUCACAAUGGAGUCGCUUUCAGGACGGAGGAGAAAAGAAAGAUCCCAUAGAGGGUGAAAUGCAAAGGCAGAAAGACGGCUCCAAGCCCACAGGAGAAAGGAUAUGUAAGUCACCAAUUUCCGAACUCUUUUCUCUUGGAUUCCCAUUUUUCUAAGAGAACUGUGAGCUUUUUAAUUUGGCCCACGUGUACUGAACAGCACUACUUGCCAGGCAAUGUUCUUAGCACUGGGGACAAAAAGAAGAAAGAGACUCUCAGCCCGCCAGGGGCUCAGGCAGCUGGGGCAGCCCGAGGGAGAGCUGAACUCCAGGCCUGCAGGGGUCAGCAAGGACUUCCUGAAGGGAAAGGCUGUUUAGUGGGGUCUUGAUGCAUAAGUAGGAGUUUGCUGGGCUGCAUAAAGGGUGGGAUGGACAUUCCAGGCAGAAAGGAUAGAUAUCAUUGUUCUUUCAUGCAGCUCUAGGGGCAAAGAUCUGAUACAAAAUCACGGUUAGUGGUAUAGAAACAGGGAAUUCUGAACUAGUUCUUCCAGCUGCUUCUAAGAAAAAGCAACGAGGCCACAUUAAAAACAAGCAGCAAAAAUAUAUAUACACUGGGGUUUGGCUCUCUUAAAAUAUGAUGCUUUUUUGCCUUUUUUCAAGUAGAAUUUAAAUGACAUGAUCCCUGGACUUCACGUGAAAUGAACUUAAAGUAACAAUUGUGAAAUAAGGGAGUCUACUGGUAGCUGAAUUGGACUUUAGAAUAACAGUAAUUUUGUACAAUACUUUUUUCUGUGAUAUUACUUUCAACUGAACCAAAUCUAGUUCUAGAAAGGUCAGAAAAAAAAAAAAAAAAAAAAAAAANAAAAAAAAAAAAAAAAAAAACACCGGGCACUAGGCCGCUCUUAAAAAAUGAGCUAAACUUUAUCCCUAAACUUUUCUGUGAGAAAUAGAUGUGCUCAUAACUGGGAAUCAAGCCUCCUUCUGGAACACUGGGCAAGUGCGAAGCUGCCUUGGACACAGGUGCUUUCUUCCAUAUUCUAGAAAACAUUUCUUCUUCCAUUUCUUUUUUUACAGUCUCUACAUUUUGGGGUACCCCGAGGUUGCCUCAGAAGUCUUCUCGCAGUGAUUCUCAGCCAUGGCAGCACAUAAUCACCACUUGGAGUGCUUUAAAAAAGUACUGAUGGAAUACACUGCGUCAGACCAAUGAGGGAUGGCCAGGGUAAAGCGGCAGAGAGUCAGGCUCCACUAUGAAGGAGCUGGAGCUUUGUGGCGUAGGAGGAUGAGCUCUGGCCAACCCACUUCUUAGGGCUCGACACACCUGUGAUCCUUUUCUUUUCUUUUUUUUUUUUUUUUAAUAUGAUUGAAGUGUUUAUUUUUUAGUGAAACAUUCAUAUUUUUAGUUAUUGAAAACAUGAAAUUUAGUGUUUCAACGAAAUUUUGUGUCAUUUUUCUUACUGCAGGCUUAAUUUUUUAAAUUUUUCAAUGCAACCUAUUUUGAAACAUUUUUUUUUUUUUUGAUCCUUUUCAAAGGACAGAGACUGAAGUUAUUCGCUGGGUAAGAGCUCACAUUAGCAGAGGGGUGCGGGGUACCACAUGCUGUGUGCUGUUGUGGGGCUCCUGGAGGCAGCUACCCCAGCGGGAGGCACCUGUGCAGAGGUGAUCACUGGGGUAGUGGGGAGCGCUGCGGGCUGGAGAGGGAGGAGGUGAGGGGAGGUAGCAGUAGAAAAAGACGGGAGCUGGGAAGGCGGCUCCUGGAAGGCGAGUGAGAUUCCUUCCAAUCCAGGCCUCCUGGCUUCACAGUCUGAGCUCUGAAGCUGCCUUGACCCAUCCCUCACACCCAGCCAGCCAGCCGGCAGUCUGCUGAGAGGCCAGGCGGCUGGUGAGCAGCCCCAAACAGCAAAGCAUGAAAUGUCAAAAUAAAGGGGGUUCUACUUUCUUACUUGAUGCAACUCUAUUUUGUUUGUUUCAUCUCUAUCUAAAGGAUGAGGUGGCCUUUAAUUAGUCUCACCUAGUACCAGGCAAGAAGAACAACAGCCAUGAUAUAAACAGCUACUCAUUAUGUGCUAGCAUGAAGACCUAAUUUUGUAUUUUUGAUCCUAAUCUCUUAUGAUCGGUGGCCUUCUACUGCCAGAUCAAAGUGACUUAACUCUACUUACAAUGGACUUGGUACAAAUACCAAACGCCUAAUGCCAAAAAAAGAAUGGGGAAAAGUCUAUUCAGGAAUUUUCAGUUACUGCCCUUAGAUCUUCAUUAAUAAAACAGAUGAACUUAGUUUUAUAAA